GCUCAAAGCUUUAUGCAUUCACUACUCAUUGUUGUUGUUGUUGCUGUUGCUUGUUAUUGUUAACCAUUACAGUUGCUGUUGUAAUUGCUGUUGCAACCACUCUACCGUAGUCCACUCUACGCCUGUUAGCGCUGUUGUUGUGCUGCUGCUUGCCACAGCUGCCGUUUGCUGCUGUCUUUAUAAAUCGUAAAUUGUAAACAUCAUCGCUUGUUGUUGCUUUAAUUAACCAUUUAUAAUUUACAAGACCAAAUGCCAAAUGUAUGUAUGCUGGCUUGCUAUAAAUAUUCAAUAGGCCUCAAAGGCAGCGACCGAUUGUAGCGUGGCAUUGUUUACGAUUUCACAUUUUUCUAUUUAAAAUUUCCUUUCGAUUUUGUUUUUUAUGUUGCUUAGUUGCUUUUGCUUUCGUUUCAUUAUUGACAUUGUAAUUUUGACAGCUAACUUGAUUGGUUAUUUUGUAAAUAAAUCAAAUCGCACGUGACUCAAUUUAUGCAAUUUGUAAUCGGUUUUUGGGAUUAUUUGAAUUAUACAUAUAUAGAUUGGAUUGUGGAAGAGGCGUUAGUUGUGGUUCUUAAAUGUUGGAAGUUAAGUAUAUACAAUCUCCAAAUGUGCAAUGGACGCCCGUUAUUGAAACCUACAAGAAGCAGCGCUAUCCCUGGGUCCAACUGGACGAUCGUCAAGGCAAUUUCAAGGCUGAUGCUGAAUAGACGACCUUUCGUGGGCUCAUACCGGAAUAUAAAGGGCAGCUGACCAGUGAGGAUGAAGAAUUAACUGCAACAUUUGCUGAGCGAUUUCAAUCAGGAUAAAAUGAUAGCGGUUGAUCGGGAUGCAGCCAGUGAACGGAAGCACAAAACGAAGGGUGUGUGCUAUAUAUGGUCUGACGUCAGAUAAUCUUCAACACCGCCACACUAGGGUUUCGCACUGAGGACAUUAAGACACAGUUCGCUGCUGUGUGACUCAUGGCUGAGAUCUCCGACUUGCGCAAGAACCAACAAAUCGGCAACAGUAGCAACUGGAUGCUGGGCAGCAACAAGUGCUGCUAUUUGAAUGGCAUUAAUUAUUUAAUUGAGAAUUUUACCGAACUCAAUGAGGAAAUGUCCGGUGAAACUUCGCUAACUCCAUUAUCUUUACUGGUUUCGUUGCCGCCGAAACGUAAUUUAGGCGAAUCGAAAAUCUACUACUCGUCGUCAAGCUUAGCAUGUUGAGAUCAGGAACUGUGAGUUUGGAAGUAAUCAAGACAUUCAGCCGAUGCUCGUUCUCAACAAAGCCGUCCCAAACGCCGAGCAAACGUUUAGCGGCCUUUGCACCGAUACAAAGCAAUGCAGGUUAACGAGAGCAGGGAUGACACCCAGGAGCCGCCUCGAGUCAGCGUACAUGAUGCAUGCCAUUCGGACCGCACGCCAGACUAUAGUUUUUUGUUAGGAAAUAUUAUAAUUGUAAAACUUUUUAAUGAUGCAAUACUUUCAAUAAAAUAUUUGUUAAAAUAAUCUCACAGUGCUUAAAUAAUAAGAAA